AUGACCAAUGCAGAAAUCACAGCAACUUGGUUUCACUCGUUUAAGAAAAUAUAUCUGCACAGUGUCAUCAGACUACAAAAACAUGCCAUUUGUUCAUCCUCUGUCUCAGUCCUUAUCCGCCUCAUUAGCAGCAGAGCCCCCGCCCACACGGCUGGUUAUUCAGGGAGCUCCGCCCGGCAGGGAGUGUGCUGUUCUCCGCUCCCUGCCUCUCUCCUUUCCUAUGAGCGUGAACUACGGCCCCUGCAGUCCCUGCAUGGCUGGAGGCGGAGGCCCAGAAUUCGGGUUAUGUCACCAAUAUCAGAGGGAAGCCUCCUAGGAGAGCAUGCUGAACUUCCGGUCUCUCCCUGUUCUUUGCCAGGCAUCCCUCUACUGCUCCCACAGGACCCUCACUGUAAUGAAAUCAUCUGAAAUGCAUUAAAGUCCACUUGGAGCCCAUGAAAUUCAGAAGACAGAGAAAUCAUCUAAUCCCCCCAGGGCAUGAUGGAGUGAAGGAGAAUCCGACAUGGUGCCAGCGAUGAAACCCCGGUCCAGUCAUCUUCUCAGCCCUUGGGUUUCUUCCUCAUUUACUUCUACCUUUGUAGAUGAGACCCUUGAGAUUUAAGUUUAAUUCUCACCAGUUUUAACAUGAUCUCAAAAUGCCACAGAAAAAUGCCCCAUCUGUUGCUAACUUGAUUUUCUCUACCUUAGUCACUUAUUUGCAUGUUUAAGAGAUCAGCCAAGGAACCUACAAAGGUGUUUUUUUCUCCCUUCUUUCAAAAUCUGCUAUUCAAGAGACCUGCAAACAUUUUAAGUUACUUCCUUUACCACUUUGCCACAUCCUCUUCCAAAUCUUUUUUGCCUUGGGUUCUGCGGUUAAUUAUUCUGUUUAAGACAGAUGAAUAAGAACUAUUCAUAGAUCUCGCAUUAGCCCAGCAGAUUAAGAGUCUCUGGGUUUUUCCAGUCCUAAAAAAUUAGGCUAAAUAGAAUAAUACUUAAUUGAAACUUUUCGAAUGAAAAUUUUAUUUUUAUCUAUAUACCCAGUAGCUGUGACGUCUUUGAACACUAUAAUUAUUUUCUUCUUUUUAAAAAAUAUUAAAAACAAAGUUUUAUUUUAUUUUGUUAUGAUUUCGGGCAGCACAGGGGAAAGUAUCAUUAAUAAAGCACGAGCUGCAAAGAUACA
rnacentral:lncRNA from 1 species